GAUUCCUUAUCAGCAGACAGUUACAGCUCCCACUAGGACACUGCCUUCUCAGCGGCUUCAGUUAUCAGAUAUUCCUGGACAUACUUUCCAAGCCAUGAAAAAUAACCAGAGCCACAGCUUUCCCAGCACUCUGACAAACAUCCAUGAGCCCCCAAAGACCGGGAAGUAAUGAUGAUGCAGCUGCGGCACCAUAGAAGAAACAAGUGAUUUCAGUCAAAGGGCCUGGACUCACGAGCUAGCAACUUUGGACAGAUUCUUGAACUCUCAGCCUCAGUUUCUGCUUCUGUAAAGGGAGAUAACUACAGUGACCUUCAGGUUAUCUUGAAGAUGCCAAUGAGCUAGUGAAAAUGCAAUUUAAUCUGUACAGAACUAAACAAAUGUAAGUCAGUGCUAAUAUUCUGUUCCUAGUGGGGACAUGCCAAGUCUCUUUACUGCAACCAGUGGUUCACAUAUGGAAAUAUUGUGCUAAUUUCCAACUCCUACUUAUAUAUAUGAUUUGUUAACUCUGGAGGAUGCAGCCAUCAGCAUAAGCAACCAACAGAAGAACACGCUGGAUCCUCUCCUUUUCCUGACAGUGUGUAGUCUUCAUGGGGGUGGACAGGCUAGAUUUAAAACGAUGGGCGGAUUGAUUAUUUUUCUGCAUCUAUUUCCAGGGUUGUAAUGUAUAUUCUCUUUCUCCCACAUCCCGCCUUCUAUUUUCUUCUCCCUACACAGGCUCUUUUAAUACAAAUUAAUUAAAAGCAGGCAUCUUAAGAGGUGGCUUAAGAAGACUCCUGCAUCAUCAUAGGGAGUUAAAAUUCUGAGCAAAAAGCCUUCUGGAGGAGAAGCAUAGGACAGGCAGCCCCAAGACUGGACUGGAUAGAUGUUGCUGAGCCACCAACUCUCUGAGGGACCUGAGACAAAGCCAGGUGACCUCACCAGUGCUCCAUGUUCUCACCAUAAGUUCUAUAGGACACUCAAAUAUUCUCAGGACAUCAGUUUACUAUACACAUGCACACACACAUAUUUUACAUUUCAUUCAAAGGGUAAAACAUAGAC
rnacentral:lncRNA from 10 species